rnacentral:rRNA from 1 species
CCUACGGGUGGCAGCAGUGGGGAAUAUUGGACAAUGGGGGGAACCCUGAUCCAGCCAUGCCGCGUGUGUGAAGAAGGCCCUCGGGUUGUAAAGCACUUUCAGUGAGGAAGAACGCCUGGUGGUUAAUACCCAUCAGGAAAGACAUCACUCACAGAAGAAGCACCGGCUAACUCCGUGCCAGCAGCCGCGGUAAUACGGAGGGUGCGAGCGUUAAUCGGAAUUACUGGGCGUAAAGCGCGCGUAGGUGGCUUGAUAAGCCGGUUGUGAAAGCCCCGGGCUCAACCUGGGAACGGCAUCCGGAACUGUCAAGCUAGAGUGCAGGAGAGGAAGGUAGAAUUCCCGGUGUAGCGGUGAAAUGCGUAGAGAUCGGGAGGAAUACCAGUGGCGAAGGCGGCCUUCUGGACUGACACUGACACUGAGGUGUGAAAGCGUGGGUAGCAAACAGGAUUAGAUACCCGGGUAGUC